AGCGAACGCUGGCGGCAGGCCUAACACAUGCAAGUCGAACGAAGUCUUCGGACUUAGUGGCGGACGGGUGAGUAACACGUGGGAACGUGCCUUUAGGUUCGGAAUAACUCAGGGAAACUUGUGCUAAUACCGAAUGUGCCCUUCGGGGGAAAGAUUUAUCGCCUUUAGAGCGGCCCGCGUCUGAUUAGCUAGUUGGUGAGGUAAAGGCUCACCAAGGCGACGAUCAGUAGCUGGUCUGAGAGGAUGGUCAGCCACAUUGGGACUGAGACACGGCCCAAACUCCUACGGGAGGCAGCAGUGGGGAAUCUUGCGCAAUGGGCGAAAGCCUGACGCAGCCAUGCCGCGUGAAUGAUGAAGGUCUUAGGAUUGUAAAAUUCUUUCACCGGGGACGAUAAUGACGGUACCCGGAGAAGAAGCCCCGGCUAACUUCGUGCCAGUCGCCGCAGUAAAAC
rnacentral:rRNA from 1 species